CCAGCAGCUCUGAUAUCGCUGCCCUUGGGGCUCCCCAGACUUCCCCUUGCUUCUGAAAUGGGUGACACCUUCUGUGCUUCCCAGCAUGAGGCGCGUGUGCACAGGCUUGUGGGGGAAAUAGUCAGGCCUGAGCUGAGAUGCCAUGUUCCCUUACAGCCCUGAGAAGCUGCUUGGGGCGUUGGGGAGGGAGGGAGGCUGCAGCACGCUACCCUUGGUCCUGGAGAGAACAAAGGUGGCGAGGAACAACCGCUGCCUUUGUUGUGUGUGCCCUGAGCCACCAUCCAGCUGGAGAACAACACUGAAAUUAUCCUGGGUCAGGUUUGUGAGGCUGCUGCCCGGUGCUCACACAGAAGGCUGUGCUACCGAGCAGGCCGGCAGGUGAACUACCCCUGCCCAGUUCCAGAUGAAAACACCAAGGACAACCACGUCCUUUGCUUCCUGCUGACUGGGGUAUUUCUGUCCAGUUGCAUUCUAUUAUUUCAGGCGUGGGAUAAUUUCUGCCGAAACACGGGAUCAAAAUAAAUGUCUUAAAGGUAGCUAAUUCUACAGCCCUGGCCUUGGGCAGGUGUCCUGCAUUGCCUCACCCACCCAUGCCUUGCUGCCCCUGUGUGCCAUGCUGCGGCCUGCUCCAGGAGACAGCUCUGACUGACCACAAACACCCAGACUUUUCCCCAGUUUUGCUGUGACAUUGUCAUCAAUUCGGCUGCCCAGCACGGUGACGCCAGGGCAGCCAGGUUGCCAGCCCUUUCUACUCAUUUCCACACAUGCCUGGCACAUUGAUCCUUUGGCUUCUCCAGCCAGUGACCAGCUAAAGGCCACUUAAUGCUACUGAAACCCAUCCACAUAAUGGGAAGAAGGGAAAAGCUCUGCUGUUGCUUGCAACAGACGUCAUGUGUUUCUUGAGGUUUUCAUUAAACUGAGGGCAGGACCGUAUUGGCCAUAUUGGACUUAAUGGGCAUGAUUGUGGGUGUCAUUAAAAGUAAAAUGAAAACAGCACAUGAAAUGAAAACAGUGAGUGAUAAUGUUGUGUAAACAGUUUUUGUUUAGCACUGCUUUUGAGCACAAGACAAAAAAGGGGCAAUUAAUACAUCCCUCAGUUUCUAAAAGGGCUGAAAGGUGCAGUUUUGACCCCAGUCCUUGUACUGGGGUUUGAGUGGCUUUGAUGCUGAACAUUUACCAGUUUCCUCUAUUGCAAGCAGGCUCGGGACCAAAGUUCAGCAGUUUGGACAACGGCCCCCAAACCACAGCAUGCUGUAGCUGCAGGUUUGCUUUAAGCCUCCGGCUCUGGAGUCUCUGUAAACAAGUCAGGCGGAAACAACCGUGCCGUUUAGCUAAAAUUAAACAUCUUGAGAGAAAAGUAAUGAGCAAGGAGAGUAGGGGCUUGCAGCGGAAGCGCUGGGCUGGAACGCACACCCCGUACAUCCACAUCCCGCAUCGGCCACCUCUGAGCAAAGGCUUUAAUCUCGCUGUGCCACAGCAUCCCGUCUGCAGACCUGGUGCCACAACGCUGCUUUCAUCAUCAUAGUGCAGACUGCGGCCUCGUUAGGCAGGGAAAUUAUGCAAGGGCAGGAGUUUGGUCUUCGGGGUCCCGGCCCUGCAUGGGGACCCCUCUGCUCUGCGAUCAUUAGAUGGUGAUAGAGCUGGGUCCUCUUGUCACCAGGAGGGACAAGGAGCCUGAUGAUGGACGGGGAUCCUUCUCCCUUUGGGGAGGCCAUGUGUGCCCGGCCAGGAUGCGGCUGGCAGCCCGGGGCACCUCCGGCUGCGCUGACUAACAGCUGCUGCUGACACCUCGUGGAAAGCUCACACAAGCAUUUUCUCCAGAAACCUUCCUGUUUCAUUUCCUCCACUGCCGUGGUUCCUUCUCCAAGCAGCCUGUCUUCUGUCUGUGUCAUGGCUGUGGCAAUCUGUCUGACACAGCUCGGGCACUGCUCCUGGCCCCCACGCUGCUCACCAAAAUCAUCAGCCAUCGCUCUGGCCAGGGGGGACUCGGGCCUUGAAGCCCCGCUCGCCCCUGCGCGAUGGCACUCGGCACCAUCCUCUUCCUCCUCACUCCCUUGGUAUGCUGCUCGCUCUCUGCUUCCUUGACUUGGUGUGAGUCAUCGCUUUACAGAGAGCCUGAACUGCCACAACCCCGGCUGGAUUGCUUUCUCUUCUGUGAGACUGGGUCAUCUCCUUCCUGCUCCACAUCAUGAAAGAAAAUCUGCUUUGGAAACAAUGCAGCGAGAAAGCCUUCUCUCGUUACUUUUGUUUCCUGGCUGCCAUACUAAUAAUGUGACUCCCUUCCUAAAAUCUGCAUCCCAAAUAAUGCUUGGGAACCCAAGACAAGCUCAGAAAGCCUCCAUGUUGGAAAGGACACCUCUGCACCAGCUCUGGGGUGAGGUACGUAACGUGGGGGCUGGCUGCUCCCAGGCCUCAGUCUGGUGAGAAGCUGAAGAAGUGGCUAACCAUGUGGCAUAGAUCUGUAGCGUUAGCAUCCAGAGGUGGCAUAACCCAUUUUUUAGGUUUUGAAACUGAUUUUUUAUAUGCCAGUCAGAGGCUGAGAUGGCGCUACAUCCGCAGUUACAUUGCAAGCCUUCAGAUGUGGUAACAGGCUAUGGGUGUCCGUUUUAUUUUGGCUAGGACAGUGACGACCCCUUUUUAAACUUUGGUUUUGGCAUCUGUAA